rnacentral:lncRNA from 1 species
CACAACAGCAGAAUGUCCUUUGGUAACCAUUGAAUGACGCAAUUUUGGGACAACUAACGAUGGAAACGGUGUCGAGCGAUUCUCGGUGGCAUAGGUGCUUCUCUCUUUAGGGUUUUCGAAACUAAAUUUUCAAUGUGCAAUUCAUAAUCCAUCUCAUUCAACCUUUUUUUUUUCAUUUUAUACAUACACCACCCAGAAUACAACACGUGACGGUGUAAAAAUUUUGUCAAAUUCUGAAUGUCAAAGUAUCAUUACCCUAAAAAAUAUCAUGAGAAAGUGACAAUUAUAUCAUUACAAAAUAUAUUACUUUCUAUCUUGAUUAAGACUACACCCACUAUAAUUAUGUAAUCAUUUUUCUACUUAUAUAACGUAUAUGUAUCAUGCAUACAAUAAGCACA